rnacentral:rRNA from 1 species
CCUACGGGUGGCUGCAGUGAGGAAUAUUGGUCAAUGGACGCAAGUCUGAACCAGCCAUGUCGCGUGAAGGAAGACGGCUCUAUGAGUUGUAAACCUCUUUUGUAAGGGGGUAAAAGCAGAUACGUGUCUCUGUUUGAAAGUACCGUAUGAAUAAGGAUCGGCUAACUCCGUGCCAGCAGCCGCGGUAAUACGGAGGAUCCAAGCGUUAUCCGGAUUUAUUGGGUUUAAAGGGAGCGCAGGAGGGAUGUUAAGUCAGCUGUGAAAGUUUGGGGAUUAACCUGUAGACUGCAGUUGAAACUGGUUGUCUUGAGUGCAGUAGAGGUAGGCGGAAUUCGUGGUGUAGCGGUGAAAUGCGUAGAUAUUCGGAAGAACCCCGAUGGCGAAGGCAGCCAACUGAGCUAUAACUGACGCUGAGGCUCGAAAGUGUGGGGAUCAAACAGGAUUAGAUACCCGGGUAGUC